UUCUAUAUAAUCAUUUUAACUGAAAAGCACGUAAUUUAGCAAUUUUAUUCGUAUUUACAGAUGGCAUACAAGUUUGUUAUUAACCUCUAUAGGAUCGGUGUCCUCACACGCGAUACGGUUGAGCUACUGUUUGAUGAGAGUGCAAAACUUUUAUCACGGCAACUGGUUUGAUAGAUUCACCUCUGAAGGUAAAUAAUGACAGAUAAAAUGUAGCAUAGUUUUGUUUGAUAAAAUCCAUUUUUAUAUUCAAUUGUAGGAACUGGCUUCCACAGUUUGAAACCCUGCUGUAUCUGCCUUCCCCCACCCCCCAUCUAGACGUGCGAAGAUUUGAUCCUUUAUAUAUUGGGCAGAGAGACCAGUUCCCUACCACCUGCUGCUGCCACCUGCAUUUUUGGGGGGGAUGACAUUGAAGCCAGCUCUGCAAUGCUUGUUUGAAAAAGAGAGAUACUUUGAAAAAUGUUUUAUUUUUAAUUAAUCAAAUGAGAAAUGACAAUCAGCACAAGGGCAAAAAGGCCAUUUUUAAACAAUGGAUAAGCUUUUCUUAGUAAUCUAUCUGAGAACCAUUUAGGGUUGAAGUAAAACUUUCAGAGAGAGGUGCUUUUAUAUUUAAUAAUCUCAACCCACCCAAUUCAUAUUAAUUAUGUAGAUAGGCAUAAAUUGUCUGGUUUAGCAUCCAAGAUAAAGUAAAAUAUUUUUUGCUCACAUGAUUUGAACAAUGAAUCAUCAGGAAUAGGCAGUGCCAUAAGUAAGUGAGUAAACUGAGAUAUGACUAAGGAGUUAAAUAGGGCAGGAUCUUCUUUGUCUAAGUUUUCUAUUGAAAUUAAUUGUGGAGAGCUCAUAUAUUUUGUGAUAUCCAGGCAUUAAAAAUCCAGUAUUACUUCAUCAAAGGCCUUUUCUAAAAUCUGCUAUAAAUACCAGACCUGGCUUCUUAGAUGUUUCAUGAUGUUCUGUUGUUAUUUCUAGUAGUAGUAGUCGUAUAUUAUCUCCAAUGUAUCAUCCAUGUAGAAAACCUGUCUGAUCAGGAUGAACAAUACCUGGUAAAAACCUUUUAAUUCAUUGAGUGCUAUGCAGUUUGCUAGAAUUUUUACAUCACAACAUUGAAGUGUAAGAGGCCUCCAGUUUUUAAGAUAAACUGGAUCUUUAUAUUUGCCAUCUGGGUCUUGUUUUAAUAAUAGACCUUCCUGAGGAGUACCUGACAGACUACCAUUUCCAUAGGGAUAGUUAAAACAAGCCAACAAUGGACUUUUUAGUAUAUAAAAAAAAGGCUAUACCUCGACAAGUGUGCCAUCGAGCCUUAGGGUUUUUCCAGACUGAAAGGAUUUAAUAGCCUCAAAACAUUAAUCCUCUAAUUUGGCCUUCACACUGAUCUUUCUGUACAUUUGUUUAAUUUCCUUUUUUAAAUUAUUAUUUGGAAAGAAUUCCUUACAGUAAUCGUCAUUCAGUGGGUGAGGAUGAGACCGAAAAGGGAAAUUGUUGAGCGUGAAAAACCCAGCAGUGUUGCAAUUCUUGACACAAACUGGUGCGCCAGCCACCUACUACCAUACCCUGUUCAAAAGGUACCUAAAUCUUUUGUCUAACCCAUUCACCCUCUGAAUGACACACAAACACAGUCCAUGUCUCAAGGCUUAACAAUCUCUUUAACCUCGUUUACAAACCUUUACCUGUAAUUUGCACUGUUAUUUCAUUUGAAACUUAACGAUGGGAAUUAUAAAAGUAGAUUUUUUUAACCAGAGUUUAAUCAACUGUGUGAUGCAUGGGUUUAGUUGUCAACAGCUUCCCAGCAGAAGUCAUAGAAAUUACCCAGUUAUAAGAGAAGUGCACGAACCAUCCACGUGAAGAUUAAUUUGUGGAAUCAUAUGAUCGACUCGAAGAGAUUCAGAUAAUUUCUGCCCUGCUAGAGCUGCCCCAGUAAGUGAUGUUAUUGUGAAGUAGAAACAUCUAGGAGCAACAACGGCUGAGCGGCACAGCCGAGUGCUGGAGCGCGGUUGCAACACUCACUAUCGAGUUACAAACUGCCUCUGGAAGCAACGUCAGCACAAUAACUACUGGUCAGGAGCUUCAUGAAAUGUGUUUCCAUGGCUGAGCAGCUUGAUACAAGCCCAAGAUCACUAAGCAUCCGCUGGAGUGGUGUAAAGCUCGGCGCCAUUGAACUCUGGAGCAGUGGAAAUGUGUUCUCUUGAGUGAUGAAUCACAAUUCACCAUCUGGCAGUCCAACGGAGGAAUCUGGUUUUGGCAGAUGCCAGGAGAACUUGCCCCAAUG